AGCCGACUGCAGCCUGAACUGCCCUCAGCACAAGGAGCUGUGAGAGAUCCCUGUCCUCUGGUACUGCUGCUGCUUUAGGCAGAGAUUGGAGUCUGUGUCUCUAUAGGUCCCAGAUUGUAACGACAUCCAAAACAGCCACUGACAUGGUCCUACUAGCCCAGCUCUCUGAUCUGCAGAGCAAGAAACCAAAGAGAGGCAGAAAAGCUGAUAUUUUUGCCAGUACCGGUAUACAUUUUAUCACUGAUUUGCAAAAUGAGAAAAGCUCUUUUUCUGCACGACAGAACAAACUAAGGAAUAGGGAGAGAAACCAUUCAGUAUCCCCAGUCUCCUUAGAAAUAAUCCAUGAUUAUAAAUACAGCAGGUAGUUGUUUUGUUGGUGGUAUGAAAUGGGAUGAGACAAAAUGCAUCUCAAAUAGUUAAA